rnacentral:rRNA from 1 species
GAUGAACGCUGGCGGCGUGCCUAAUACAUGCAAGUCGAACGCAUAGCGAAAGGUGCUUGCACCUUUCAAGUGAGUGGCGACCGGGUGAGUAACACGUGAACAACCUGCCUCAAGUCUGGGGAUAACAUUUGGAAACAGAUGCUAAUACCGAAUAAACCUUAGUGUCGCAUGACACAAAGUUAAACGGCGCUUCGGCGUCACCUAGAGAUGGAUCCGCGGUGCAUUAGUUAGUUGGUGGGGUAAAGGCCUACCAAGACAAUGAUGCGUAGCCGAGUUGAGAGGAUGAUCGGCCAAAAGGGAACUGAGAAACGGCCAAGACUCCUACGGGAGGCAGAAGUGGGGAAUAUUGGAAAAUGGGCGAAAGCCUGAUGAAGCAAGACCGCGUGGGUGAAGAAGGCCUUCGGGUUGUAAAGCACUUUUGUUGGGAAAGAAAAGCAGAAGGUGAAAAUAUUGAUGGUGUGACGGUACAAAAAGAAAAAGCAACGGCAAAAUUCGUG